GACGAACGCUGGCGGCGUGCUUAACACAUGCAAGUCGAACGAUGAAGAAGAGCUUGCUCUUCGGAUUAGUGGCGAACGGGUGAGUAACACGUGACUAACCUGCCCCUUUCUCUGGGAUAACGCUCCGAAAGGAGUGCUAAUACCGGAUACUCACAUCGAGGCACAUGCCUUGAUGUGGAAAGUUUUUCGGAAAGGGAUGGAGUCGCGGCCUAUCAGCUUGUUGGUGAGGUAACGGCUCACAAAGGCGACGACGGGUAGCCGGCCUGAGAGGGCGACCGGCCACACAGGGACUGAGACACGGCCCAGACUCCUACGGGAGGCAGCAGUGGGGAAUAUUGCACAAUGGGCGAAAGCCUGAUGCAGCGACGCCGCGUGAGGGAGGAAGGUCUUCGGAUUGUAAACCUCUUUCAGUAGGGACGAAGCGAAAGUGACGGUACCUAAAGAAGAAGCACCGGCUAACUACGUGCCAGCCGCCGCAGUAA
rnacentral:rRNA from 1 species